rnacentral:rRNA from 1 species
UGGCGGCAGGCUUAACACAUGCAGGUCGAGCGCGUAGCAAUACGAGCGGCAGACGGGUGAGUAACGCGUGGGAAUCUACCCAUCUCUACGGAACAACUCCGGGAAACUGGAGCUAAUACCGUAUACGUCCUUCGGGAGAAAGAUUUAUCGGAGAUGGAUGAGCCCGCGUUGGAUUAGCUAGUUGGUGGGGUAAUGGCCUACCAAGGCGACGAUCCAUAGCUGGUCUGAGAGGAUGAUCAGCCACACUGGGACUGAGACACGGCCCAGACUCCUACGGGAGGCAGCAGUGGGGAAUAUUGGACAAUGGGCGAAAGCCUGAUCCAGCCAUGCCGCGUGAGUGAUGAAGGCCCUAGGGUUGUAAAGCUCUUUCAACGGUGAAGAUAAUGACGGUAACCGUAGAAGAAGCCCCGGCUAACUUCGUGCCAGCAGCCGCGGUAAUACGAAGGGGGCUAGCGUUGUUCGGAAUUACUGGGCGUAAAGCGCACGUAGGCGGAUACUUAAGUCAGGGGUGAAAUCCCGGGGCUCAACCCCGGAACUGCCUUUGAUACUGGGUAUCUCGAGUCCGGAAGAGGUGAGUGGAAUUCCGAGUGUAGAGGUGAAAUUCGUAGAUAUUCGGAG